rnacentral:tRNA from 1 species
GCCUGGGUGGCUCAGUCAGUUGGGCGUCUGAUUUCCGCUCAGGUCAUAAUCUCAUGGUCUGUGGGUUCAAGCCCUGCAUCGGGCU